rnacentral:rRNA from 1 species
CGACUAAGCGUACACGGUGGAUGCCCUGGCAGUCAGAGGCGAUGAAGGACGUGCUAAUCUGCGAUAAGCGCCGGUAAGGUGAUAUGAACCGUUAUAACCGGCGAUUUCCGAAUGGGGAAACCCAGUGUGAUUCGUCACACUAUCAUUAACUGAAUCCAUAGGUUAAUGAGGCGAACCGGGGGAACUGAAACAUCUAAGUACCCCGAGGAAAAGAAAUCAACCGAGAUUCCCCCAGUAGCGGCGAGCGAACGGGGAGGAGCCCAGAGCCUGAAUCAGCAUGUGUGUUAGUGGAAGCGUCUGGAAAGGCGCGCGAUACAGGGUGACAGCCCCGUACACAAAAGCGCAUGUGCUGUGAGCUCGAUGAGUAGGGCGGGACACGUGGUAUCCUGUCUGAAUAUGGGGGGACCAUCCUCCAAGGCUAAAUACUCCUGACUGACCGAUAGUGAACCAGUACCGUGAGGGAAAGGCGAAAAGAACCCCGGCGAGGGGAGUGAAAAAGAACCUGAAACCGUGUACGUACAAGCAGUGGGAGNNNNNNNNNNNNNNNNNNNNNNNNNNNNNNNNNNNNNNNNNNNNNNGGGCGUUAAGUUGCAGGGUAUAGACCCGAAACCCGGUGAUCUAGCCAUGGGCAGGUUGAAGGUUGGGUAACACUAACUGGAGGACCGAACCGACUAAUGUUGAAAAAUUAGCGGAUGACCUGUGGCUGGGGGUGAAAGGCCAAUCAAACCGGGAGAUAGCUGGUUCUCCCCGAAAGCUAUUUAGGUAGCGCCUCGUGAAUUCAUCUCCGGGGGUAGAGCACUGUUUCGGCUAGGGGGCCAUCCCGGCUUACCAACCCGAUGCAAACUGCGAAUACCGGAGAAUGUUAUCACGGGAGACACACGGCGGGUGCUAACGUCCGUCGUGAAGAGGGAAACAACCCAGACCGCCAGCUAAGGUCCCAAAGUCAUGGUUAAGUGGGAAACGAUGUGGGAAGGCCCAGACAGCCAGGAUGUUGGCUUAGAAGCAGCCAUCAUUUAAAGAAAGCGUAAUAGCUCACUGGUCGAGUCGGCCUGCGCGGAAGAUGUAACGGGGCUAAACCAUGCACCGAAGCUGCGGCAGCGANNNNNNNNNNNNNNNNNNNNNNNNUGCUGGAGGUAUCAGAAGUGCGAAUGCUGACAUAAGUAACGAUAAAGCGGGUGAAAAGCCCGCUCGCCGGAAGACCAAGGGUUCCUGUCCAACGUUAAUCGGGGCAGGGUGAGUCGACCCCUAAGGCGAGGCCGAAAGGCGUAGUCGAUGGGAAACGGGUUAAUAUUCCCGUACUUGGUGUUACUGCGAAGGGGGGACGGAGAAGGCUAUGUUGGCCGGGCGACGGUUGUCCCGGUUUAAGCGUGUAGGUGUGUGUUCCAGGUAAAUCCGGUUCACUUUAACACUGAGGCGUGACGACGAGGCACUACGGUGCUGAAGCAACAAAUGCCCUGCUUCCAGGAAAAGCCUCUAAGCAUCAGGUAACAUCAAAUCGUACCCCAAACCGACACAGGUGGUCAGGUAGAGAAUACCAAGGCGCUUGAGAGAACUCGGGUGAAGGAACUAGGCAAAAUGGUGCCGUAACUUCGGGAGAAGGCACGCUGACACGUAGGUGAAGUGAUUUACUCACGGAGCUGAAGUCAGUCGAAGAUACCAGCUGGCUGCAACUGUUUAUUAAAAACACAGCACUGUGCAAACACGAAAGUGGACGUAUACGGUGUGACGCCUGCCCGGUGCCGGAAGGUUAAUUGAUGGGGUCAGCGCAAGCGAAGCUCCUGAUCGAAGCCCCGGUAAACGGCGGCCGUAACUAUAACGGUCCUAAGGUAGCGAAAUUCCUUGUCGGGUAAGUUCCGACCUGCACGAAUGGCGUAAUGAUGGCCAGGCUGUCUCCACCCGAGACUCAGUGAAAUUGAACUCGCUGUGAAGAUGCAGUGUACCCGCGGCAAGACGGAAAGACCCCGUGAACCUUUACUAUAGCUUGACACUGAACAUUGAGCCUUGAUGUGUAGGAUAGGUGGGAGGCUUUGAAGUGUGGACGCCAGUCUGCAUGGAGCCGACCUUGAAAUACCACCCUUUAAUGUUUGAUGUUCUAACGUGGACCCGUAAUCCGGGUUGCGGACAGUGUCUGGUGGGUAGUUUGACUGGGGCGGUCUCCUCCUAAAGAGUAACGGAGGAGCACGAAGGUUGGCUAAUCCUGGUCGGACAUCAGGAGGUUAGUGCAAUGGCAUAAGCCAGCUUGACUGCGAGCGUGACGGCGCGAGCAGGUGCGAAAGCAGGUCAUAGUGAUCCGGUGGUUCUGAAUGGAAGGGCCAUCGCUCAACGGAUAAAAGGUACUCCGGGGAUAACAGGCUGAUACCGCCCAAGAGUUCAUAUCGACGGCGGUGUUUGGCACCUCGAUGUCGGCUCAUCACAUCCUGGGGCUGAAGUAGGUCCCAAGGGUAUGGCUGUUCGCCAUUUAAAGUGGUACGCGAGCUGGGUUUAGAACGUCGUGAGACAGUUCGGUCCCUAUCUGCCGUGGGCGCUGGAGAACUGAGGGGGGCUGCUCCUAGUACGAGAGGACCGGAGUGGACGCAUCACUGGUGUUCGGGUUGUCAUGCCAAUGGCACUGCCCGGUAGCUAAAUGCGGAAGAGAUAAGUGCUGAAAGCAUCUAAGCACGAAACUUGCCCCGAGAUGAGUUCUCCCUGAGACUUAGAGUCUCCUGAAGGAACGUUGAAGACGACGACGUUGAUAGGCCGGGUGUGUAAGCGCAGCGAUGCGUUGAGCUAACCGGUACUAAUGAACCGUGAGG